ACAAUCCACCCACAAUUUAAUCAAAUCAUUUUUCCUCCCUAGUAUGGGCGACAGAAAAGAACAUACGGAGCAAUAGACAAAGUACCGCAAGGGAACCCUGAAAGAGAAAUGAAACAAGUCAGUAAAGCCCCAAGAAGCAGAGAUUUCACCUCGUACCUUUUGCAUCAUGAUUUAGCCAGAGAAAAUCAAGCAAAAUGCAUUUUAGUUUGACAACCCGAAACUAUGUGAGCUACUCCGAGACAGCCUAUUAAUAGGGCGAACCCGUCUCUGUGGCAAAAGAGUGGGAAGAGCUCUGAGUAGAGGUGACAGACCUACCGAACUUAGUUAUAGCUGGUUGCCCGAGAAUUGAAUAGAAGUUCAGCCUCCCGGCUUCUCCACUCCACCCCUGGUUCCACCGCCAAUGAUCCAAAGAAACCGCGAGAGUUAGUCAAAGGGGGUACAGCCCCUUUGAAACAGACACAACUUUAUCAGAAGGAUUAAGAUCAUAAUAAUCAAGGCAAUGUGUCCCAGUUGGCCUAAAAGCAGCCAUCCCCAUAGAAAGCGUUACAGCUCAAACACUCUUCUAGCCCUAAAUCCCGACCACCCAAUCUUACUCCCCUAACCCUACCGGGCCGUUCCAUGCAAACAUGGAAGCGACUAUGCUAAUAUGAGUAAUAAGAGAGCUACCGCCUCUCUCUCCAACACACGUGUAACUCGAAACGGACAAACCAUCGAAUACUAACGGCCCCAACCUAUCAGAGGGAAUUGAUGGACAUAAACCAAACAACUAGAAAAACACCCAACAACCAACCGUUACCCCUACACAGGUGUGUCCCCAGAGAAAGACUAAAAGGAAAAGAAGGAACUCGGCAAACACCCAUUAAAGCCUCGCCUGUUUACCAAAAACAUCGCCUCUUGCGACAACAACAUAAGAGGUCCCGCCUGCCCUGUGACUAUAAGUUUAACGGCCGCGGUAUUCUGACCGUGCGAAGGUAGCGCAAUCACUUGUCUUUUAAAUGGAGACCUGUAUGAAUGGCAUAACGAGGGCUUAACUGUCUCCUUUUCCCAGUCAAUGAAAUUGAUCUCCCCGUGCAGAAGCGGGGCUACACUCAUAAGACGAGAAGACCCUAUGGAGCUUCAGACACCAAAGCAGACCAUAUACCCACCCUCCCACAAAGAGAAAAAGCAAAUGAUCCCCUGCCCUAGUGUCUUCGGUUGGGGCGACCGCGGAGAAAAAAGAAACCCCCGCACGGAAUAGGUACACUCAUACCCACAACCAAGAGCCACAGCUCUAACUACCAGAACUUCUGACCAACAGAUCCGGCAAUGCCGAUUAAUGGACCAAGUUACCCUAGGGAUAACAGCGCAAUCCCCUUUUAGAGCCCAUAUCGACAAGGGGGUUUACGACCUCGAUGUUGGAUCAGGACAUCCUAAUGGUGCAGCCGCUAUUAAGGGCUCGUUUGUUCAACG
rnacentral:rRNA from 1 species